GACGAACGCUGGCGGCGUGCUUAACACAUGCAAGUCGAACGGAAAGGCCCUGCUUUUGUGGGGUGCUCGAGUGGCGAACGGGUGAGUAACACGUGAGUAACCUGCCCUUGACUUUGGGAUAACUUCAGGAAACUGGGGCUAAUACCGGAUAGGAGCUCCUGCUGCAUGGGGGGGGUUGGAAAGUUUCGGCGGUUGGGGAUGGACUCGCGGCUUAUCAGCUUGUUGGUGGGGUAGUGUCUUACCAAGGCUUUGACGGGUAGCCGGCCUGAGAGGGUGACCGGCCACAUGGGGACUGAGAUACGGCCCAGACUCCUACGGGAGGCAGCAGUGGGGAAUAUUGCACAAGGAGCGGAAGCCUGAUGCAGCAACGCCGCGAGCGGGAUAACGGCCUUCGGGUUGUAGACCGCUUUCGCCUGUGACGAAGCGAGAGUGACGGUAAUGGGUAAAGAAGCACCGGCUAACUACGUG
rnacentral:rRNA from 1 species